rnacentral:tRNA from 1 species
GUAGUUGUAGCCUAGUGGUGAAGGCGAUGGACUAGAAAUCCAUUGGGGUUUCCCUGCACAGGUUUGAAUCCUGCCAACUAUG